GACGAACGCUGGCGGCGUGCCUAAUACAUGCAAGUAGAACGCUGAAGAGAGGAGCUUACUCUUCUUGGAUGAGUUGCGAACGGGUGAGUAACGCGUAGGUAACCUGCCUUGUAGCGGGGGAUAACUAUUGGAAACGAUAGCUAAUACCGCAUAACAAUGGAUGACACAUGUCAUUUAUUUGAAAGGGGCAAUUGCUCCACUACAAGAUGGACCUGCGUUGUAUUAGCUAGUAGGUGAGGUAAUGGCUCACCUAGGCGACGAUACAUAGCCGACCUGAGAGGGUGAUCGGCCACACUGGGACUGAGACACGGCCCAGACUCCUACGGGAGGCAGCAGUAGGAAAUCUUCGGCAAUGGGGGCAACCCUGACCGAGCAACGCCGCGUGAGUGAAGAAGGUUUUCGGAUCGUAAAGCUCUGUUGUAAGUCAAGAACGGGUGUGAGAGUGGAAAGUUCACACUGUGACGGUAGCUUACCAGAAAGGGACGGCUAACUACGUG
rnacentral:rRNA from 1 species